AAUGAACGCUGGCGGCGCGGUUAAGACAUGCAAGUCGAACGGUUUUAUUGAAGCGCAAGCAGAUAUAAAAGCAGUGGCGAACGGGUGCGUAACACGUGAACAAUCUACCUUCAAACGGGGAAUAGGCUCGCCGAGAGGCGAAUUAAUACCGCAUGUGGUUGUCUCUCGCAUGAGAGGCAUACCAAAGUCAGGGACCGCAAGGCCUGACGUUUAGAAGAGGGAGUUCGCGGCCUAUCAGCUAGUUGGCGAGGUAACGGCUCACCAAGGCUAAGACGGGUAGCUGGUCUGAGAGGAUGAUC
rnacentral:rRNA from 1 species